CCUACGGGGUGCAGCAGUGGGGAAUAUUGGGCAAUGGGCGCAAGCCUGACCCAGCAACGCCGCGUGAAGGAAGAAGGCUUUCGGGUUGUAAACUUCUUUUAUCAGGGACGAAGCAAGUGACGGUACCUGAUGAAUAAGCCACGGCUAACUACGUGCCAGCAGCCGCGGUAAUACGUAGGUGGCAAGCGUUAUCCGGAUUUACUGGGUGUAAAGGGCGUGUAGGCGGGAAAGCAAGUCAGAUGUGAAAACCAUGGGCUCAACCUGUGGCCUGCAUUUGAAACUGUUUUUCUUGAGUACUGGAGAGGCAGACGGAAUUCCUAGUGUAGCGGUGAAAUGCGUAGAUAUUAGGAGGAACACCAGUGGCGAAGGCGGUCUGCUGGACAGCAACUGACACUGAGGCUCGAAAGUGUGGGUAUCAAACAGGAUUAGAUACCCGGGUAGUC
rnacentral:rRNA from 1 species